rnacentral:tRNA from 1 species
GGAGGAAUACCCAAGUCCGGCUGAAGGGAUCGGUCUUGAAAACCCACAGGGGCUUAACGGCUCGCGGGGGUUCGAAUCCCUCUUCCUCCGCCA